AUGCUCAGGCGUGGGCGCGCAGAGACGCCGAUUUUCGACCUCGUGUUUGCGUCGUGGUCUCGCCGCGCUGGGGCUACCGCAAUUGCCAUGCCGUUCCUGGUACAGCUGGCGCUCUGGGGUGUGCCCGCGAAUGAGUGGACGAGGCAAACGGCGGAGGUGCUUCUCCACGGCUUGGGCAUUGUGGUUAAGGUGGCGUCCUCGACGGCGACCAGGAAUGAUAUGGAAAGCUUCAAGGUUUGGUUGAGGACGGAUGAUCCUGCCCGCAUCCCGUCCAAGCGCAUCCUAGUCGUCGAGGAGCAGGGCAGCUGA
rnacentral:rRNA from 1 species